rnacentral:rRNA from 1 species
AUUACGGAGAGUUUGAUCCUGGCUCAGGAUGAACGUUGGCGGCGUGCUUAACACAUGCAAGUCGAACGAAGAAUUUGUAGCAAUACGAGUUCUUAGUGGCGAAUGGGUGAGUAACACGU